rnacentral:rRNA from 1 species
GAUGAAUGCUGGCGGCGUGCCUAACACAUGCAAGUCGAGCGGCAGCGCGAGUAGUUUACUACUUGGCGGCGAGCGGCGGACGGCUGAGUAACACGUGGGAACGUGCCCCAAAGUGAGGGAUAACGCACCGAAAGGUGUGCUAAUACCGCAUAUGGUCUUCGGAUUAAAGAAUUUAUUCGCUUUGGGGGCGGCCCGCGUCGGAUUAGGUAGUUGGUAGGGUAAUGGCCUACCAAGCCGACGAUCCGUAGCUGGUCUGAGAGGAUGAUCAGCCAGACUGGAACUGAGACACGGUCCAGACUCCUACGGGAGGUAGCAGUGAGGAAUCUUCCACAAUGGGCGAAAGCCUGAUGGAGCAACGCCGCGUGCAGGAUGAGGGCCUUCGGGUUGUAAACUGCUUUUAUAAGUGAAGAAUAUGACGGUAACUUAUGAAUAAGCACCGGCUAACUACGUGCCAGCCGCCGCAGUAA